AGAGAGAGAGAGAGUGUGUGUGUGUGUGUGUGUGUCCCUGUGUCCCUGUGUCCCUGAAGCAGUGUUGUCUUCUCUGGUUUUGCUCUUUAUUUUUGCUUUGUUUUAGUCUUGUCUAGAAAUUGGUUCUUUAUCAACAUAGUUUUCAACCUAUGGGUUGCAACCCAUUGGCAAAUCUGUCUCCUAAAACAUUUACAUUACGAUUCAUAACAGUAGCAAAAUUAUAGUUAUGAAGUGACAACAAGAAUAAUUUUAUGGUUGGGGGUCACUACAUGAGGAACUGUAUUAAAGGGCCACAGCAUUAGAAAGAUUGAGAAGCACUGCUCUGUGUCUUUAUGCAGUAGAUUUACUCCUGCUGUCAGUGUUCCUUAUAAAUAAGUCAGUCUUAACAUCUUUAUUGCAGUGGGCCAUAAUUUACUUAGCCAGGCCCAUAAUUAGACAUCUGAAGCUUUCACAUUGUGAUGAACAUCUCUGUCUACAAAGCUUUUUUGUGUAUAAUAUUAUUUAUUUAUUUAUUUUCUUUCUUUUUUUUCGGAGCUGGGGACUGAACCCAGGGCCUUGCGCUUUCUAGGCAAGCACUCUACCACUGAGCUAAAUCCCCAACCCUAAUUAUUUUUUUAUUAAAUGUCUAUAAAUUCACUGUAGCUGUCUUCUCUUAACCACUGAGCCAUCUCUCCAGCCCCAUACAAAGCUUUUAAUAUAUAGAAUUUUUAAAAACAUUUCUCAGGACUCCGUUUACUUGGAUAAAGGG
rnacentral:lncRNA from 1 species